GCCUUCGUGGUGUAGUGGUCAGCACGCUCGACGCGUAUUCAAGCGGUCCGUGUUUCGAAUCCUAGCGAGGGCA
rnacentral:tRNA from 1 species